rnacentral:rRNA from 1 species
GACGAACGCUGGCGGCGUGCUUAACACAUGCAAGUCGAACGGAAAGGCCCUGCUUUUGUGGGGUGCUCGAGUGGCGAACGGGUGAGUAACAUGUGAGUAACCUGCCCUUGACUUUGGGAUAACUUCAGGAAACUGGGGCUAAUACCGGAUAGGAGCUCCUGCUGCAUGGUGGGGGUUGGAAAGUUUCGGCGGUUGGGGAUGGACUCGCGGCUUAUCAGCUUGUUGGUGGGGUAGUGGCUUACCAAGGCUUUGACGGGUAGCCGGCCUGAGAGGGUGACCGGCCACAUUGGGACUGAGAUACGGCCCAGACUCCUACGGGAGGCAGCAGUGGGGAAUAUUGCACAAUGGGCGGAAGCCUGAUGCAGCAACGCCGCGUGCGGGAUGACGGCCUUCGGGUUGUAAACCGCUUCCGCCUGUGACGAAGCGUGAGUGACGGUAAUGGGUAAAGAAGCACCGGCUAACUACGUG